UUCGACGUGGCGGACAGGGCCGCCUGGUAGGAGAGCUGCCGGGAGGAGAGGUUCAGCGCCGCCUCGGCGAGUUCGAUGUCCUCGGCGGCGGAGC
rnacentral:tRNA from 1 species